rnacentral:rRNA from 1 species
ACUUGGGGAUCAGUGGCGAACGGGUGAGUAACACGUGAGCAACCUGCCCCUGACUCUGGGAUAAGCGCUGGAAACGGCGUCUAAUACUGGAUACGAACCGCGACCGCAUGGUCAGUGGUUGGAAAGAUUUUUCGGUUGGGGAUGGGCUCGCGGCCUAUCAGCUUGUUGGUGAGGUAAUGGCUCACCAAGGCGUCGACGGGUAGCCGGCCUGAGAGGGUGACCGGCCACACUGGGACUGAGACACGGCCCAGACUCCUACGGGAGGCAGCAGUGGGGAAUAUUGCACAAUGGGCGGAAGCCUGAUGCAGCAACGCCGCGUGAGGGAUGACGGCCUUCGGGUUGUAAACCUCUUUUAGCAGGGAAGAAGCGAAAGUGACGGUACCUGCAGAAAAAGCGCCGGCUAACUACGUGCCAGCAGCCGCGGUAAUACGUAGGGCGCAAGCGUUAUCCGGAAUUAUUGGGCGUAAAGAGCUCGUAGGCGGUUUGUCGCGUCUGCUGUGAAAUCCCGAGGCUCAACCUCGGGCCUGCAGUGGGUACGGGCAGACUAGAGUGCGGUAGGGGAGAUUGGAAUUCCUGGUGUAGCGGUGGAAUGCGCAGAUAUCAGGAGGAACACCGAUGGCGAAGGCAGAUCUCUGGGCCGUAACUGACGCUGAGGAGCGAAAGGGUGGGGAGCAAACAGGCUUAGAUACCCUGGUAGUCCACCCCGUAAACGUUGGGAACUAGUUGUGGGGUCCAUUCCACGGAUUCCGUGACGCAGCUAACGCAUUAAGUUCCCCGCCUGGGGAGUACGGCCGCAAGGCUAAAACUCAAAGGAAUUGACGGGGACCCGCACAAGCGGCGGAGCAUGCGGAUUAAUUCGAUGCAACGCGAAGAACCUUACCAAGGCUUGACAUAUACGAGAACGGGCCAGAAAUGGUCAACUCUUUGGACACUCGUAAACAGGUGGGUGCAUGGUUGUCGUCAGCUCGUGUCGUGAGAUGUUGGGUUAAGUCCCGCAACGAGCGCAACCCUCGUUCUAUGUUGCCAGCACGUAAUGGUGGGAACUCAUGG